rnacentral:lncRNA from 1 species
CGAAGGAAGGUGCAUGUGCAUCCCAUGUACUCGAGGUUUCGAGAUUUCAAGCGACCGGUUGUGUGUUGCACCGAAAAGAGAUCUUCAUGUCUGCAAGACAUGUGUGGCGGUACUACCCGACUCAGCCCAAGUUAACGGAACUGCAUGUGCUGGCACAAAGAGCUGAGUUGUUACUGUGUUGUUACUUACCUCCAUGAAGCAUGUCGCCAUAUCGAAGCCGCUAGCCGCAACUAUUGUCGGACCUCGUCUUGAUGAGUAGUGCAUGCUCCUUCCACCAGCACAAAGGAUCUUCGUCUUGGACAAUAAUGGGUUCCUCUAAGUACCAUCAUGUCCACAUUUUGCCCAACAGAUGGUGACAAUGGUGCUGCGGAUGAGGAAUGGAGCAAUAUGACAAGGAGCAAGGUCUGCUACCAUAAGAGCUUUGGAAGACGUGGUGCAAACUUCAGGGAACUUGAAAUACCAAAAUGAGAAUCUCGGGUCACCCAGGAGUUUACACAACCAUUUCAAUAAGGCACAGCAGUAAAUAUGCCAGCAACUCUUCCUUAUAAUGAGAAGGAAUUGACUACUGUGGACAAGAGCCUCACCUGUUCUUGAGACUAUUCAAGACUGAGAUCCAAGAGCCACUUUCGAGUAGACAGACUACAGAAUGCCACCUAAUGCACCAGGGUCGGACUACAGAAUUCCACUCAAUGCACCAGGGUAUGUAGCAACAGAGGUGUUGAAGGGAGAAAUAGGAUGGGUACCUUCAGAGAGGCAUGUAAGGGCAACAUUGAGAUUCAAGGAAAGAUUGGAAUGAUCAAAUAAUGCAAGUAAGUUAGGAAGUGUUUGUGGAAUGUUAGGAAUAGCAGCAGGUGGGGGAAGUGUGCCAGGAUGGUAGUGAGUGGUCUGUAAACUGCUUGGGCAUUAUUUCAACAAGUUGAGGGGAGGCAUGUUGAGAGUAACUUGUACAUGAGUUAGAAAUGGAGAGGGCUUCAAAUGGGAUGUAAGGAAGUGGGAGAAGUGAAGUGUAUGGGACAGAGAGGAUGUAAGGAAGUGGGAAAAGUGGUGUAUGGGACAGAGUGAGUAGAGGAAUAAGAUGGAAUAGAAGAGUACUUUGGAGUGGUAUAGAGGGAAAGUGGCCCCAAAGUAUGAAAAGUGGUAUGAUGGCAGUCUGGGUGAUCUCUUCCAAGCUUGGGCUCAGUGUAUGGAUGAAUGCAAGGUGCUACAGAUGGUCCAAGUCCUGUAACAUAGUGUGCCAUGGGAGAAGACAAAGUAAAGCACGCAAUGCUAGUGUGUUUAAUAUGCCAGAGACAGGAAUGAUAUAAUGCAAGUGGUGCUGAGGGAAUUGUGGAAUGCUAGGAUGUUGAAGACAAGAAGGGAAUGAAUGGUGGUGGUGCUGGGACUAUGUGGAGAGAGGAGUGAAAGUGGAAUGCUAGAUGUAGCGAUUAUAAAGAUGUCUGCCAAUACUAGGUCCUGCCUCAGGAGAUAUCCUGAGCCACCUGGGUAGCAUCAAGAUCACAGAUCAAAAUCAAAGAAAUUUUAGAAGAAUGCAUGGGCAGUGUAUGUGAAACAACUAACUUACAAGGCAAAUAAUAAUGAAGGCUUGAAAGUCAAGUGUGAAAGUGUGAUUGAAUCUUUGAGAAAGGCAUGGAAUGUGACUGUGAAUAAUGGUACAAGUUCAUGAGAUGAAUGUCAGGAAAUGUUGAUAUGGAGAGUCUAAAAGUUAAUGACGUUAUAAGAGAAGGAAGGAAUCAGGGAGCCAAUCAGAUAGUUCUGGGAAAGAAGUGGGUAGGUCUCCUGUGAGAGAAGGAUGUAUGACACUGGAGAGGAUGAAUGCUGAUGACGUAAAUGAGAAAAUCAGCAGGGAAGAAGAGAGAUGUGCAGAAGGAUUAGAUAGGAUACCUUGAGAUGCAUAAAAAUACUGGAAAGGUUAGGAAUGACAGGAUGACUUAACUUUUUAACUAGGUAUGAGAGGAGGAGAGUACUAAUAAUGUGGAGUGAAUGUUGGGAGACUUGCACAAGUGAGGAUCCCAGAGUAAAUGAGUUGAACUAAAAAGGCCAAUUGGAUUAGUAGUAGUGUUCAGUGCAGUGUUGAAUGAGAUUGUGUAAAUGGACUGAGCUAGCUGGAGUGUAAGGUGAAGAACUAACAUUUUUUUAGAUAUAGAGAGCAUAGAACAGGGUGGAUAGAGAAAUGUUAGGCAAAGCCUUAGGAAAGAGAUGAUAACCAACAUAGUGUAUACCAUGUAUGUUGAGACAAGAGCUACUAAAUACAGAACUAGGAAAUAUAGAAAAGGACUUGAGUGAAGAGUUAGAGAUAAGCUAGGCAAGGGUGUAUAUUGUCACCAACCGUUUUCAGCUUGUAUACAGAGGAGUUAUCAGCCAGAUUGAAAACAAUGAAUGAAUGCAAGAGUAACUGUGGGGAAUGAGAUGUUUGCUUUAUGUAGAUGUAGUGGUCAUGAGUGAAUCAGCAGAUGGGUUGGUUGCAAAGUUUGCUGGAUGUUGUGGAAAAGAUUUAGAAGCUAGGUUUCAUAGUGAGAAAAGUAAGGUAAUGAUAGUGAAUAGAUCAGAGGAUGAGAGUAAUGCAGUAUGGAGAAUUGGAGAGAACAAGUUGAAACAAGUGCAAGAAUAUAAGUACUUAGGGAUGUGGUUAAAGUCUUAGUGUGUAAAAAGGCAAAUAAUGAAAAGAUAAGCUUGGUGAAGCAAUGGGUAAUGCAAUUGGGAAGUGCAGCUAGAAUGAGAGCAAGUAAAUAUGAUGUGCUGUGAUAAGUGUAGAAGAGAGGGUGGCUAUGCCCAGUAUAAUGUAUGGUAUGGAUGUGAUUGCAUGGAAUGAAAAUGAAAUUGACAAGUUAGAAGUAGGACAAAAACGUACCGAGAAUGGCCACUGAAUGCAUCAAGGUAAACAGCAUUAUAAGCUUUGACAGGUGAUAUGAGAUGGAGCAACUUUGAGAGACUUUAUCAACAAGAAUAGCAAGAAAGGUGUAUGUCAAAUGAAAGUGGAACCAAAUGGAGAAAGAGGUGCAUGAGUAUGACAGUGAAGAAUGGAUUUCAAAAGUUGUGUGGGGGAUGAGAAUGGCUGGGAGGAAUCAAAAUGAGGCAUAAAUGAAUCCUGACAAGAGGAGGCAGAGUGGGAAUUCAAGGAUGUGAGGAAAUGAAAGAGUGAGAUGACAGAGGUGAAGUGGGUAGGACUAUAUAUGUGGAAGAAUGAGAUGAAACAAAAGAGUACACUAUUGCAGUGGUGAGUUUCUGGAGAAAAUGUGGUAUGCUUGAUGUAGGGAUAAUUAGUGAACAGAUACUGUCUUUUUUUUCUGCUUGUCCUCUACAGGUGUUGCCUACCUAUCCAGAGUCACUCUGGAGUAUUCCUAAGGCAUCUGUACUAUCAAGAUAAAGUACUUUAUUUUUCCAUGUACAUCAAGAUCAAGUAUACAAAAUGCUGCCAAGAUGUACAUGAGAAAAUAUACUUGAUCUUGAUACUACAGAUGUAGUGGAAGGAGAUGAAGACAAAACAUUUGCAAAAUUCUAAGCAAGAACAAGUUUGCUAAGAUGAAGCAAGCUUAUCAUCAUCCAUCCUGCUGACCUUUUUUAACUGUAUGAAUAUUAGAAAUAAAUUCAAAAUAAUUUCAUUCUUUAAAAAAUUAUCUGAACCAUUCUAAUAUCCCGUUAGGCUAGCAGAUAUUGCUAAUCUUUUCUGCUUGUGCCUUCUGACAUAGGUAAUGCAGUAAACAAGUAACCCCUAUCUUUUCGUAGGAGUCUGACCACCAUCUUUAAAUAGUUAAAAUGUGUUAUUGCAGACAUAUGUAUAUACAUAUCUCUUUUUCAAGAAAAAUACUGUAGAAAUGUGAACAUGUAUCUUGAACUGCUUGAAAACUUAAGACGAUUUUACACAUACAGGUCCCCUCUCCCCCACUGCAUGUAUAGUACUUGUUAUUCACAUCCACAUGAUUUAUUGUGUUGAGAGGGCUUGAUGUGCAAAGUGGGAGUUUACCAGAGGAAGGUAUGAAUGAUUUUGAGUGCUGGUUAAAACUCUUGUAUUAGAGAUUUGCACGAAGGCUUUGCCCGUGUACGAUCUGUUUCAGCAGGCAAACCAUCAAACUGUCCACUUCCGGCACCAUUAGAGGGCAGUGGAUAGUCCAGGAUGAAGGUCUUCCGUCACUGCCAAACGCACAAGUAUGGCGCGCACCAUGGUGAUCGUACCGUACUGAACCAUGCACUCACAACUCCUGCUGGCGUCCGACUGCCCUCCAACCACCACAGACAGCCGUGUGGACACCUUACGCGGGCAUAGUCUGCAGACUUUGCCUU